rnacentral:rRNA from 1 species
AAUGGGUAUACCUAUUUUCCAUUUUUCUCCGAAGAAGCCUCCGAAAUCCUCACCGAUGCGCAGCGUCUGGAAUCCCUUUCAAUCCCGGUCAUUGCCGUCACAUGAGGCGGUACGCCUUCAGUCAGCGCGGCAUCAAGGAUUGCCACGUCCGGCAUCAGCGUCGCAUGUGCCAGCACCUGCUUGCGUCCUGUCGCCGCGUCGAUAAUCACCGUUACGUUCGUGGUUUCCGAUCCGGUUCCGGCGGUGGUGGGGACAGCAAUCAACGGCAGUYAUWASKAACGAUAAAGCGGGUGAAAAGCCCGCUCGCCGGAAGACCAAGGGUUCCUGUCCAACGUUAAUCGGGGCAGGGUGAGUCGACCCCUAAGGCGAGGCCGAAAGGCGUAGUCGAUGGGAAACAGGUUAAUAUUCCUGUACCAGGUGUUACUGCGAAGGGGGGACGGAGAAGGCUAUGUUGGCCGGGCGACGGUUGUCCCGGUUUAAGCGUGUAGGUGUGUGUUCCAGGUAAAUCCGGUUCACUUUAACACUGAGGCGUGAUGACGAGGCACUACGGUGCUGAAGCAACAAAUGCCCUGCUUCCAGGAAAAGCCUCUAAGCAUCAGGUAACAUCAGAUCGUACCCCAAACCGACACAGGUGGUCAGGUAGAGAAUACCAAGGCGCUUGAGAGAACUUGGGUGAAGGAACUAGGCAAAAUGGUGCCGUAACUUCGGGAGAAGGCACGCUGAUAUGUAGGUGAAGCGAUUUACUCGUGGAGCUGAAAUCAGUCGAAGAUACCAGCUGGCUGCAACUGUUUAUUAAAAACACAGCACUGUGCAAACACGAAAGUGGACGUAUACGGUGUGACGCCUGCCCGGUGUCGGAAGGUUAAUUGAUGGGGUUAUCCGUAAGGAGAAGCUCUUGAUCGAAGCCCCGGUAAACGGCGGCCGUAACUAUAACGGUCCUAAGGUAGCGAAAUUCCUUGUCGGGUAAGUUCCGACCUGCACGAAUGGCGUAAUGAUGGCCAGGCUGUCUCCACCCGAGACUCAGUGAAAUUGAACUCGCUGUGAAGAUGCAGUGUACCCGCGGCAAGACGGAAAGACCCCGUGAACCUUUACUAUAGCUUGACACUGAACACUGGUCCUUGAUGUGUAGGAUAGGUGGGAGGCUUUGAAGCGCGGACGCCAGUUCGUGUGGAGCCGUCCUUGAAAUACCACCCUUUAAUGGCUGGUGUUCUAACGUAGGCCCGUAAUCCGGGUUGCGGACAGUGUCUGGUGGGUAGUUUGACUGGGGCGGUCUCCUCCUAAAGAGUAACGGAGGAGCACGAAGGUUAGCUAAUCCUGGUCGGACAUCAGGAGGUUAGUGCAAAGGCAUAAGCUAGCUUGACUGCGAGCGUGACGGCGCGAGCAGGUGCGAAAGCAGGUCUUAGUGAUCCGGUGGUUCUGAAUGGAAGGGCCAUCGCUCAACGGAUGAUUUGGGUAGUGAUGUUGGGGGGCGUGGUGGCUGAGCGCGACCGGGCGCAUCUGACGAUUCCUUUUGUCGUCGAUAUGCUCCCGCAUAAAAUCAAACGCAUUAUUGCCUCGCUGGUUGCCGUGCUGUCCAUCAGAUUGARKGUCGCYGUCGCAUUUGCUUGYCCGGCCCGUACUUUAUCUUUGGUCUGAAUAUARCGGGCGGUAAUGGGGAACGACUCCUGGUCGCCAGCCGAGCGUUUAAGAUUAAGCAUCUUAUUCAGUUCCAGUGGCGUAUCGUUGUACAGUAACUGCACGCCGAUCCCCGAGGCAACCUUGUCAUCACCCUGGUUACUGAGCUCGAGCACGCUG